rnacentral:rRNA from 1 species
CCUACGGGUGGCAGCAGUGAGGAAUAUUGGUCAAUGGACGAGAGUCUGAACCAGCCAAGUAGCGUGAAGGAUGACUGCCCUAUGGGUUGUAACCUUCUUUUAUAUGGGAAUAAAUUGUUCCACGUGUGGGAUUUUGUAUGUACCAUAUGAAUAAGGAUCGGCUAACUCCGUGCCAGCAGCCGCGGUAAUACGGAGGAUCCGAGCGUUAUCCGGAUUUAUUGGGUAUAAAUGAGGCGUAGGUGGAUUGUUAAGUCAGUUGUGAACGUUUGCGGCUCAACCGUAAGAUUGCAGUUGAAACUGGCAGGCUUGAGUACAGUAGAGGUGAGCGGAAUUCGUGGUGUAGCGGUGAAAUGCGUAGAUAUCACGAAGAACACCGAUUGCGAAGGCAGUUCACUGGACUGCAACUGACACUGAGGCUCGAAAGUGUGGGUAUCAAACAGGAUUAGAUACCCCUGUAGUC